rnacentral:rRNA from 1 species
UGGCAGGUACAGCGGGAAGCCAUAUGGCGACAUAGAGCGGAACCCGAAAACCUGUCUCAGUUCGGAUUGGAGUCUGCAACCCGACUCCAUGAAGCUGGAUUCGCUAGUAAUCGCGCAUCAGCCACGGCGCGGUGAAUACGUUCCCGGGCCUUGUACACACCGCCCGUCAAGCCAUGGGAGCCGGGGGUACCUGAAGUGCGUGACCGCAAGGAGCGCCCUAAGGUAAAACCGGUGACUGGGGCUAAGUCGUAACAAGGUAUC